CGUCCCCGCCGCCCCCCGCCCGCCUACGGGAGGCAGCAGUGGGGAAUAUUGCGCAAUGGGGGGAACCCUGACGCAGCAAUACCGCGUGAGUGAAGAAGGCCUUCGGGUUGUAAAGCUCUUUUAGUGGGGAAGAUAGUGACGGUACCCACAGAAAAAACUCCGGCUAACUCCGUGCCAGCAGCCGCGGUAAUACGGAGGGAGUGAGCGUUGUUCGGAUUUACUGGGCGUAAAGCGCGCGUAGGUUGUUUUGUAAGUCAGAAGUGAAAUCCUCGGGCUCAACUCGAGAACUGCUUUUGAAACUGCGAGACUGGAGACCGGCAGAGGAUGGCGGAAUUCCCCAUGUAGAGGUGAAAUUCGUAGAUAUGGGGAGGAACACCAGAGGCGAAGGCGGCCAUCUGGACCGGUACUGACACUGAGGCGCGAAAGCGUGGGGAGCAAACAGGAUUAGAUACCCUGGUAGUCCACGCUGUAAACGAUGAGUGCUGGUUGUUGCGGGUAUCGACCCCUGCAGCAACGAAGCUAACGCGUUAAGCACUCCGCCUGGGGAGUACGGNCGCAAGAUUAAAACUCAAANGAAUUGACGGA
rnacentral:rRNA from 1 species